GCAAGUUCCCUUUGUGACCUCACCGGAGUUCAGAGCACUGCCUCCCCCCUGCUGCGUGGACACCUCUANNNNNNNNNNNNNNNNNNCACGGACCUGGGACAAAUGACCCCACCUAAGGCAGGGUCCUUACAGUUCCGCAAACUUUCACUCUGCCCCCCUGGGCAGGGGAGAGGAUCGGGGCGCGAGACGGUGAAGAAGGUGACACAUGGGGGUCCAUCUGUCCAGCCAUCCCUCAUCCGUCCGUGCGUUCAUUCAAGAAACGUCUCCCCAACACCCAGAUUGACACAUAAAAUUAACCAUCACAACCACCAAGCCAAAUUUGGGAACUGGGAACACAUAUGGCCUGGCCAACUGACCAACUACAGCAGUCUGAAUGGCGGUGAGUCUGGAUCCCUUAUCAAUGGCUAAUUUGAUCUCCUAGACAUUUAGAGGGAUGCUUCCCUCCAUCAGAACAUCAUAAUCCACAAAAUGAGAAUACACGGUACUCUGAGGACUCUAAAAGAGCAAUUCAGGAAUUGCUGAAGCAGCAUUGAAGUGCUUUCCUGUGAGCAGGAACAACCACAGUCACUUGUGAGUUAACUUGUUGAACUAAACCCAGAAGAAUGCAGGUUCUCAGUAAUCAUAGAGUUUUUUUUUAAAAUUCAUGAUAGACACAGAGAGAGAGGCAGAGAUACAGGCAGAGGGAGAAGCAGGGAGCCCGAUGCAGGGAGCCCGAUGCGGGACUCAAUCCCAGGACUCCAGGAUCGCGCCCUCGGGCAAAGGAAGGUGAUAAACCCCUGAGACACCUGGGGAUCCCCAGUAAUUGUACAGUUUGAAGGUCCCAGGCCCUGGGGUCAGGCAGCCUGGGCUUGAAUCCUGGCUCUGCCACUUGCUCUGUGGCCAAGGGUUGGUUGCUUGAUCUCUCUGAGCCUUGUUUUUCUCACCUGUAAAAUGAGAUGCCAGUCCUUUGCCUGAUGGACCUGCAGCACGAGUUAAAUGAGAAGCCAUGGGUGGAAUGCAUGCAGGGUAACCCUCCCCAUGGUGAGCCUCAAAACACAUCAGCCACUAUUGCUUCUUUCCAAAUCUCCA
rnacentral:lncRNA from 1 species